rnacentral:rRNA from 1 species
UACGUAGGGUGCAAGCGUUACUCGGAAUUACUGGGCGUAAAGGGCGCGUAGGCGGCCCCUUUUGUCGCGUGUGAAAGCCCCGGGCUCAACCUGGGAGGUGCGCGCGAAACGGGGGGGCUUGAGUUCGGGAGAGGAGAGUGGAAUUCCCAGUGUAGAGGUGAAAUUCGUAGAUAUUGGGAAGAACACCGGUGGCGAAGGCGGCUCUCUGGACCGAGACUGACGCUGAGGCGCGAAAGCGUGGGGAGCAAACAGG